rnacentral:lncRNA from 1 species
GUUAACCUUGAAGUUCAGACACCCUUUAGUCUUUAAUUAGACUUUCUGGAAACUAGACGACUGAGUGAAAAAAAAGUAGUUAAAUAUAAAUAUUAAAUCACCGAGAUGAACAACUUACGUAAUGAAUUAUUAACGUCAAGCAUAGUACUAGGUCACCCCCGAUACGAAAAUGGACGAGCACCUGGUUGGAUAGUCGGGUUGCAUGACUGGAAAUGUAACAGUCAAGGGCAGCAGAAGGUCAAAUCGGUGGAAUAUGGAACAUUGGAUGUGGGACAAGGUCUGCUGACAGUGGGAAGUAGAGCUAGAUAGCUCAGCUUCUAGGGGUGAAGGUUGUUUCAACCUUGAAGCUGUGAAAUGCAUAAACGUCAUUUAUUGAUAUUACUAAACCUGUACUUUGAUACAUUUACAUUUUUAAUCAGUAAAUAUAAUGUUUUGUGUCUUACGUAUUAAAAAGUAUUUCUUUAUUUUGACAUAUAAAUCUUUACAAAACACACAUUUUUUUUAACUUUUCAAAAAAAUAUACAUUUUUGUUUGUUGGAAUGGCG